rnacentral:rRNA from 1 species
AGUUGAUCCUGGCUAGGAUGAACGCUAGCGGCAGGCUUAACACAUGCAAGUCGAGGGGCAUCGGGAGUAGCAAUACUGCCGGCGACCGGCGCAAGGGUGCGUAACGCGUGAGCAACAUGCCCGUAUCAGGGGGGAUAAUCCAUGGAAACGUGGUCUAAUACCCCAUAGUAAUUAUGUAAGGCAUCUUAUAUAAUUUAAAGCUUUGGUGGAUACGGAUUGGCUCGCGUGACAUUAGCUGGAUGGUAAGGUAACGGCUUACCAUGGCUACGAUGUCUAGGGGUUCUGAGAGGAAGGUCCCCCACACUGGAACUGAGACACGGUCCAGACUCCUACGGGAGGCAGCAGUGAGGAAUAUUGGACAAUGGAUGGAAAUCUGAUCCAGCCAUGCCGCGUGCCAGGAAGACGGCCCUAUGGGUUGUAAACUGCUUUUGUAUGGGAGCAAUAAGGGCUACGUGUAGUCCGAUGAGAGUACCAUACGAAUAAGCACCGGCUAACUCCGUGCCAGCAGCCGC